rnacentral:tRNA from 1 species
GCGAGGAUGGCGAAAUUGGCAGACGCGCCGGAUUUAGGUUCCGGUACCGAAAGGUGUAGGGGUUCAAGUCCCCUUUCUCGCACCA